CCUACGGGCGGCUGCAGUGGGGAAUAUUGCACAAUGGGCGCAAGCCUGAUGCAGCCAUGCCGCGUGUGUGAAGAAGGCCUUCGGGUUGUAAAGCACUUUCAGCGGGGAGGAAGGCGUUAAGGUUAAUAACCUUGUCGAUUGACGUUACCCGCAGAAGAAGCACCGGCUAACUCCGUGCCAGCAGCCGCGGUAAUACGGAGGGUGCAAGCGUUAAUCGGAAUUACUGGGCGUAAAGCGCACGCAGGCGGUCUGUCAAGUCGGAUGUGAAAUCCCCGGGCUCAACCUGGGAACUGCAUUCGGAACUGGCAGGCUAGAGUCUUGUAGAGGGGGGUAGAAUUCCAGGUGUAGCGGUGAAAUGCGUAGAGAUCUGGAGGAAUACCGGUGGCGAAGGCGGCCCCCUGGACAAAGACUGACGCUCAGGUGCGAAAGCGUGGGGAGCAAACAGGAUUAGAUACCCUAGUAGUC
rnacentral:rRNA from 1 species